rnacentral:rRNA from 1 species
GAGUUUGAUCAUGGCUCAGGAUGAACGCUGGCGGCGUGCUUAACACAUGCAAGUCACGGGGGCCAGCAAUGGCAACCGGCGAACGGGUGCGUAACACGUGAGCAACCUACCGAAAUGAGGGGGGUAGCCGGCCCAACGGCCGGGUAAUACCGCAUACGCUCGAGACCAGGCAUUUGGACUCGAGGAAACCUCCGGGGCAUUUCGAGGGGCUCGCGGCCUAUCAGCUAGUUGGUGAGGUAACGGCUCACCAAGGCGACGACGGGUAGCUGGUCUGAGAGGAUGGCCAGCCACAUUGGGACUGAGAUACGGCCCAGACUCCUACGGGAGGCAGCAGUGGGGAAUCUUGCGCAAUGGCCUAACGGCUGACGCAGCGACGCCGCGUGAGGGAUGACGCUCUUCGGAGUGUAAACCUCUUUUGCCUGAGACGAAUUGUCAGCUUUAGCUGAUUUGACUGUAUCGGGUGAAUAAGCACCGGCUAACUCCGUGCCAGCAGCCGCGGUAAUACGGGGGGUGCGAGCGUUGUCCGGAAUCACUGGGCGUAAAGGGCGCGUAGGUGGCCUGAUAAGGGUGUGGUGAAAGUCCGGGGCUCAACCCCGGAUCUGCCGUGCCGACUGUUAGGCUAGAGUACUGUAGGGGCAGGCGGAAUUCCGGGUGUAGCGGUGGAAUGCGUAGAGAUCCGGAGGAAGACCGGUGGCGAANGCGGCCUGCUGGGCAGUUACUGACACUGAGGCGCGACAGCGUGGGGAGCAAACUGNAUU